GAUGGAGAACGUAGCGAAAUGCGAUACGUAAUGUGAAUUGCAGAAUUCAGUGAAUCAUCGAGUCUUUGAACGCACAUUGCGCCCCCUGGUAUUCCGGGGGGCAUGCCUGUCCGAGCGUCAUUGCUGCCCUCAAGCACGGCUUGUGUGUUGGGCCUCCGUCCUCCUCCCGGGGGACGGGCCCGAAAGGCAGCGGCGGCACCGCGUCCGGUCCUCGAGCGUAUGGGGCUUCGUCACCCGCUCUUGUAGGCCCGGCCGGCGCUUGCCGACACAUCAAUCUUUUUUCCAGGUUGACCUCGGAUCAGGUAGGGAUACCCGCUGAACUUAAGCAUAUCAAUAAGCGGAGGA
rnacentral:misc_RNA from 1 species